rnacentral:tRNA from 1 species
GUGGCCGUAGCUCAACUGGCUAGAGCGUCUGCUUGUGGAGCAGAAGGUUGUCGGAUCGUCCCCGAUCGGCCACCCCA